GGCCAAACAUAGAACUAGACAAACUAGACAUGUAACAUAGAAUGCCCACUCAGCUCACACCCUGACCAACCAAAACAUAGAAACAUACAAAGCAAGCUAUGGUCAGGGUGUGACAGGUAGAGGACACAUGCAUAUCUUGUCCCCACGCACAGGGAAGAAGAUGGUUCAGGAGGGAAAGAAAAGCCCAAGGGCCCCAGUUUGAGAAUUACAGAACUUGGUCAUAGCUUGUGGUCACCAAGAUUCCAAAUCUACAAUUAGAUGCCACCUCCAUGCUACUUGGAAGAGUUUCUCUUCCAAAAAAAAAAAAAACUUUAUUGAGAGCAACCAAAAAAAUGUAAACGUCUGGAGUUUGGUAAACGGCAUUGGCACCUGGAUUGGGACCGGGGUGGACAGAUCAGUCCAAAAUAGAGCUAUUUGUAAAACUCUAAAGAAGGAUAGUGAAAAUAACCUCAUACCUACUCGGUAGCGGUGUGUACAAUCACUGGGCCAAGCCAAGCCAGUAAAAAAGUCACAUUACAAAUCAAAUAAAAUGUUAUUUGUCAAAAUGCUUCGAAUACAACAGGUAUAGUAGACCAUACAGUUAAAUGCUUACUUACAAGCCCUUAACCAACAACGCAGUCCUAAGAAGGUACCUAAAAAAAAAAGUAAGCGAUAAGAAUAACAUCUAAUUAAAGAGCAGCAGUAAAUAACAACAGCGGGGCUAUAUACAGGGGGUACGGGUACAGAGUCAAUGUGGAGGCUAUAUACAGGGUAUUACGGUACAGAGUCAAUGUGGAGGCUAUAUACAGAGUAUUACGGUACAGAGUCAAUGUGGAGGCUAUAUACAGGGGGUACGGGUACAGAGUCAAUGUGGAGGCUAUAUACAGAGUAUUACGGUGCAGAGUCAAUGUGGAGGCUAUAUACAGGGGGUACGGGUACAGAGUCAAUGUGGAGGAUAUAUACAGGGGUACGGGUACAGAGUCAAUGUGGAGGCUAUAUACAGAGUAUUACGGUGCAGAGUCAAUGUGGAGGCUAUAUACAGGGGGUACGGGUACAGAGUCAAUGUGGAGGCUAUAUACAGAGUAUUACGGUGCAGAGUCAAUGUGGAGGCUAUAUACAGAGUAUUACGGUGCAGAGUCAAUGUGGAGGCUAUAUACAGGGUAUUACGGUACAGAGUCAAUGUGGAGGCUAUAGACAGAGGGUACCAGUACAGAGUCAAUGUGGAGGCUAUAUACAGGGGGUAGCGGUACAGAGUCAAUGUGGAGGCUAUAUACAGGGGGUAGCGGUACAGAGUCAAUGUGGAGGCUAUAUACAGGGGGUACCGGUACAGAGUCAAUGUGGAGGCUAUAUACAGGGGGUACCGGUACAGAGUCUAUGUGGAGGCUAUAUACAGGGGGUACCGGUACAGAGUCAAUGUGGAGGCUAUAUACAGGGGUAGCGGUACAGAGUCAAUGUGGAGGCUAUAUACAGGGGGUAGCGGUACAGAGUCAAUGUGGAGGCUAUAUACAGGGGGUAGCGGUACAGAGUCAAUGUGGAGGCUAUAUACAGGGGGUAGCGGUACAGAGUCAAUGUGGAGGCUAUAUACAGGGGGUACCAGUACAGAGUCAAUG
ensembl:lncRNA